UCCCCGGAAGUCCAGUGGUUAGGACUCUGUGCUUCCAAUGCAGAGGGCUCAGGUUCCAUCCCUGGUCAGGGAA
rnacentral:tRNA from 1 species